UACAGAGGUCUCAAGCGUUGUUCGGAUUCAUUGGGCGUAAAGGGUGCGUAGGCGGCGCGGUAAGUCGGGUGUGAAAUCUCGGAGCUUAACUCCGAAACUGCAUUCGAUACUGCCGUGCUUGAGGACUGGAGAGGAGACUGGAAUUUACGGUGUAGCGGUGAAAUGCGUAGAUAUCGUAAGGAAGACCAGUGGCGAAGGCGGCUCCUGGCCUGUUCUUGACGCUGAGGCGCGAAAGCUAGGGGAGCAAACGGG
rnacentral:rRNA from 1 species